UCUUCAAGAACCUCCGUCGCCGACGCCGCCUCCGCACUCCCUCUUCUCCGCCGUCACUCGCCGCCUCCACCACCGGUACGUCACCCUCCCAGUCGCCCCCGACGGCCUCCUCUCCACCUUCCGGCCUCGGCGGUUUCUCCUUGACGACAGCGGUAUCGUCGUGUGUUAGCCAAGCGACUACAGUAACACGCUGCGAAAAUCUCAUCUACUUAUCAAAAAGAACCAUUGAAGGUUCAUGGAUGCAUCUGACAUUGACCUUGGAAGCCUAGAGGUGGUGUGCAGGCUCAGCCACUCGGAGAUGCUUCGUGUAUCCAACUGGCCUCGUUGCAGUCCAAUUGAUCAUCCUUUGCCACAGUAUUGAAGGCACUCGCAGGACCACCCACUUUGAAGAGGGGACCUGACUACCCAUCGUGUGUGAUCAUUAUUUCACAGAAUGUGCAUCUCCUACAUGCAAAUGAAAGGGUAUGAAACAUGGAAAGCUGAGAAAAGCAGAAAGAGUAGUAGUGCAGAACAUGAGGUCAUCAGUGCAGAGCCUGAAAAAUCUAUGCAACUUCAUAUUCUUUCGUGUCUUUAGAAUGACAUUCAUUCCAUGAAAGAGAUAUGGUUGUCAUGGUUUCCCUUCUACACUGGAAAAUGUGAGAUUUAUCAUCUCUAUGAUGCUGGAAUACUCCCUUCCAUGACAGAGAAUUGUGUGCUGCAUGUUUCCCAUGUAUUUGUCCUCCUUGAAAUGAACUCCAUCAUUGCAAUCA